AUUGAACGCUGGCGGCAUGCCUUACACAUGCAAGUCGAACGACGCUAGGGGCAACUCUAGCGAGUGGCGAACGGGUGAGUAAUACAUCGGAACGUGUCCUGUCGUGGGGGAUAACCAGUCGAAAGAUUGGCUAAUACCGCAUGACCUCGUAAGAGAAAAGCGGGGGACCGCAAGGCCUCGCGCGAUUGGAGCGGCCGAUGUCGGAUUAGCUAGUUGGCGGGGUAAAAGCCCACCAAGGCGACGAUCCGUAGCUGGUUUGAGAGAACGACCAGCCACACUGGGACUGAGAACCGGCCCAGACUCCUACGGGAGGCAGCAGUGGGGAAUCUUGGACAAUGGGCGCAAGCCUGAUCCAGCCAUGCCGCGUGUGUGAAGAAGGCCUUCGGGUUGUAAAGCACUUUCGGGCGGAACGAAAUCGCGCGGGUUAACAGCCCGCGUGGAUGACGGUACCGCAAGAAGAAGCACCGGCUAACUACGUGCCAGCCGCCGCAGUAA
rnacentral:rRNA from 1 species